GACGAACGCUGGCGGCGUGCUUAACACAUGCAAGUCGAACGGAAAGGCCCCUUCGGGGGUACUCGAGUGGCGAACAGGUGCGUAACACGUGAGUAACCUGCCCUUGACUUCGGGAUAACUUCAGGAAACUGGGGCUAAUACCGGAUAGGAAUCCUUGCUGCAUGGUGGGGGUUGGAAAGCUUCGGCGGUUUUGGAUGGACUCGCGGCUUAUCGGCUUGUUGGUGGGGUAGUGGCUUACCAAGGCUUUGACGGGUAGCCGGCCUGAGAGGGCGACCGGCCACAUUGGGACUGAGAUACGGCCCAGACUCCUACGGGAGGCAGCAGUGGGGAAUAUUGCACAAUGGGCGGAAGCCUGAUGCAGCAACGCCGCGUGCGGGAUGACGGCCUUCGGGUUGUAAACCGCUUUCAGCAGGGGCGAAGCUUGUGGUGACGGUACCUGCAGAAGAAGCACCGGCUAACUACGUG
rnacentral:rRNA from 1 species